GACGUAGGGCGCAAGCGUUGUCCGGAAUUAUUGGGCGUAAAGAGCUCGUAGGCGGCUUGUUGCGUCGACUGUGAAAACCCGUGGCUCAACCAUGUGGUCUGCAGUCGAUACGGGCAGGCUAGAAUUCGGUAGGGGAGACUGGAAUUCCUGGUGUAGCGGUGAAAUGCGCAGAUAUCAGGAGGAACACCGGUGGCGAAGGCGGGUCUCUGGGCCGAUAUUGACGCUGAGACGCGAAAGCGUGGGUAGCAAACAGG
rnacentral:rRNA from 1 species